rnacentral:tRNA from 1 species
UCAGAGUGGCAGAGUGGUUAAUGCGCCGGCCUUAGAAACCGGUUAGGGGAAACCCUUUGCAGGUUCGAAUCCUGUCCUCUCCGCUA